UAGGCGCUGUGUGGGGAGGCGGUGGCGGCGUGAGCGGAGUGAAGUUCGUCAUCCUCAAAACAGAUCUCUUUCCCCGUGCUGACCUUGAACUGGCUUUGGGUGCUAGUUGGCUGACGUCAUAAGCUGACUUGAUUUGGUUAGUCUGUUAUUCGCCAUGUGGUCAGAAAGGACGUGUCCAUUGGUUACUUUUGGAAAGUUACCAGAAACAACAAGGUUGUUGAAGUAACAAGGAAAAUUGCACCUAUACACAAUUAAGGAAAGUUUCAGUUUGUAUUUUUUCUGUUGUUGAAUGAAGGUAUGUUGCUGUUGUUGAAUGAAGGCUGCGGACUCUAAAGGAAAAGAAGUAGAACUGGAUCCCCUGGAAAGAGAGGCAAAACCAGAAACCCCACAAGAGGGACAUGCUGGAUUUCAUCUGCAAGCUGAAACCAAACAACUAGAGAAGAAGCAAUGCAUGAGGCUGGGUCCUGGGCUAGUUUAA
rnacentral:lncRNA from 1 species